ensembl:miRNA Mir7651 microRNA 7651
AAGUGGAAAGCCAGCCUGAGAUACAUUGUGAUAAUCUGUCUCAGUUGGGUUUUUUUCCCCUUGA